rnacentral:misc_RNA from 1 species
ACUGGAUUGUUGGCCCCGCCGCCACCCUCCUGACUGCCGCACGGCCACGCCAACGAGCCGUAUGGCGAUCAGGCGGCCGCGCCCGCCGAGACGGUGGGAGCCGGAGAGGCCCCGCCACCGCCGCCCUCCCCGCGAGCCGCACGGAUUUCAGGCAGCAGCGCGGCAGUAGGAGGCUCCCGGCGUGGCGUCGGCGGCUAGGGAUGUCGGAGGAGUCCGAGCGGGAGGAGGUGUUGGAGAGGAGAGAGGGGAGAAGAUGCAGCAGCUACUGGAUUGUUGGCCCCGCCGCCGCCCUCCUGACUGCCGCACG